rnacentral:rRNA from 1 species
UACGAAGGGGGCUAGCGUUGCUCGGAAUCACUGGGCGUAAAGCGAACGUAGGCGGCUUUUUAAGUCCGGGGUGAAAUCCUGGAGCUCAACUCCAGAACUGCCUCUGAUACUGAAAGGCUUGAGUCCGGGAGAGGUGAGUGGAACUGCGAGUGUAGAGGUGAAAUUCGUAGAUAUUCGCAAGAACACCAGUGGCGAAGGCGGCUCACUGGCCCGGUACUGACGCUGAGGUGCGAAAGCGUGGGGAGCAAACAGG